CAUUACACAAUACAAUAGUGAAGGCCGUACGCGGCUGGAUUAUUUUAUUACCCUUGUCUUUUGCGCACUUGUUGUUUCCUGGGCGGGUUCGCCCGCCACCAGGACCACACCAUAAACCUUUUUUAUGCAGUUGCAAUCAGCGUCAGUACAACAAAUGUAAAUCAUUUACAACUUUCAACAACGGAUCUCUUGGUUCUGGCAUCGAUGAAGAACGCAGCGAAAUGCGAUACGUAGUGUGAAUUGCAGAAUUCAGUGAAUCAUCGAAUCUUUGAACGCACAUUGCGCCCUUUGGUAUUCCAAAGGGCAUGCCUGUUCGAGCGUCAUUUGUACCCUCAAGCUUUGCUUGGUGUUGGGCGUUUUUUGUCUUUGGUUGCCAAAGACUCGCCUUAAAACGAUUGGCAGCCGGCCUCCUGGUUUCGCAGCGCAGCACAUUUUUGCGCUUGCAAUCAGCAACAGAGGGCGGCACUCCAUCAAGACUCCAUUUUCACGUUUGACCUCGGAUCAGGUAGGGAUACCCGCUGAACUUAAGCAUAUCAAUAA
rnacentral:misc_RNA from 1 species